AAUCAACGCUGGCGGCGUGCCUAACACAUGCAAGUCGAACGAGAAAGUGGAGCAAUCCAUGAGUAAAGUGGCGACCGGGUGAGUAACACGUGACUAACCUACCUCCGAGUGGGGAAUAACUCCGGGAAACCGGGGCUAAUACCGCAUAACAUCGCGAGAUCAAAGCAGCAAUGCGCUUGGAGAGGGGGUCGCGGCUGAUUAGCUAGUUGGUAGGGUAAUGGCCUACCAAGGCGAAGAUCGGUAUCCGGCCUGAGAGGGCGCACGGACACACUGGAACUGAAACACGGUCCAGACUCCUACGGGAGGCAGCAGUGGGGAAUUUUGCGCAAUGGGGGAAACCCUGACGCAGCAACGCCGCGUGGAGGAUGAAGCCCCUUGGGGCGUAAACUCCUUUCGACCAAGACGAU
rnacentral:rRNA from 1 species